rnacentral:misc_RNA from 1 species
AACGCACAUUGCGCCCCCUGGUAUUCCGGGGGGCAUGCCUGUUCGAGCGUCAUUUAUACCAAUCUAGCCCGGCUAGGUGUUGGGCUUCGCCGUCUGGCGGGCCUUAAAAUCAGUGGCGGUGCUUCCAGGCUCUACGCGUAGUAAUUUUCUCGCUAUAGGGUCCUGGGAGACGCUGGCCAACAACCCCAAAUUUUUCUAGGUUGACCUCGGAUCAGGUAGGGAUACCCGCUGAACUUAA